AUUGAACGCUGGCGGCAGGCCUAACACAUGCAAGUCGAGCGGAUGAAGGGAGCUUGCUCCUGGAUUCAGCGGCGGACGGGUGAGUAAUGCCUAGGAAUCUGCCUGGUAGUGGGGGAUAACGUCCGGAAACGGGCGCUAAUACCGCAUACGUCCUGAGGGAGAAAGUGGGGGAUCUUCGGACCUCACGCUAUCAGAUGAGCCCAGGUCGGAUUAGCUAGUUGGUGGGGUAAAGGCCUACCAAGGCGACGAUCCGUAACUGGUCUGAGAGGAUGAUCAGUCACACUGGAACUGAGACACGGUCCAGACUCCUACGGGAGGCGGCAGUGGGGAAUAUUGGACAAUGGGCGAAAGCCUGAUCCAGCCAUGCCGCGUGUGUGAAGAAGGUCUUCGGAUUGUAAAGCACUUUAAGUUGGGAGGAAGGGCAGUAAGUUAAUACCUUGCUGUUUUGACGUUACCAACAGAAUAAGCACCGGCUAACUUCGUG
rnacentral:rRNA from 1 species